AACGACUCUCGGCAACGGAUAUCUCGGCUCACGCAUCGAUGAAGAACGUAGCAAAAUGCGAUACUUGGUGUGAAUUGCAGAAUCCCGUGAACCAUCGAGUUUUUGAACGCAAGUUGCGCCCGAAGCCAUCCGGCCGAGGGCACGUCUGCCUGGGCGUCACG
rnacentral:rRNA from 1 species